UAUUAAAGAUCUUUUGAAAUUAUUCAUUGGGCUUAAUACUGAACUUAAAUGAUAGAAAAAAGUGUCAAUCUUGUCACGCUAGUAUUAAUCUGAUACCAGUACUAUCGACAUUUGGGUAAAUUUGGCCACCUCUGCUGUGCUCCUCUGCUAUCAGCAGGAAUUUAUGUGUGACUGAUAUUAAUGGCGCUGCUGUAAUCAGACUCUGUAUUUCUAUUUAAGGCAGGUCAGGACAUCUUGCACUGUGUUCAGUAAUUAAUGUCUGCUGUGUUUAUUUUUUUUCACUUACCCAUAAUCAUGUUGUUAAACAUAUGCAUAGAGUACAUGUGUAGGCCUAACUUCUUCCCCAGUGGUCAGAUCUGAGUCCAACAUCAAGCUGAGUGUCAGGUUAACGGCCAAGCUGUCAGACCCCACCGUCUCCUGCAGUCAGCUGCUCAGAACAUAAUGGCCUCAGGACGGGGAGACAUUCCAGUACUUGAAUCCGGCAUGCCGUCCUGCCUCAUGGGUGCAUUAUCAUCUCCAGUUGGAAUACAACGACACAAUAUCAGCUA